GACGAACGCUGGCGGCGUGCUUAACACAUGCAAGUCGAACGGAAAGGCCCUGCUUGCAGGGUACUCGAGUGGCGAACGGGUGAGUAACACGUGGGUGAUCUGCCCUGUACUUCGGGAUAAGCCUGGGAAACUGGGUCUAAUACCGGAUAGGAGCCAAUUUUAGUGUGUUGGUUGGAAAGUUUUUUUCGGUGUAGGAUGAGCUCGCGGCCUAUCAGCUUGUUGGUGGGGUAAUGGCCUACCAAGGCGGCGGCGGGUAGCCGGCCUGUGAGGGUGGACGGCGACAUUGGGUCUGAGGUACGGCCCAGGCUCCUACGGGAGGCAGCAGUGGGGAAUAUUGCACAGUGGGCGCAAGCCUGAUGCAGCGACGCCGCGUGGGGGAUGACGGCCUUCGGGUUGUAGACUCCUUUCGCUAGGGACGAAGCUUUUUGUGACGGUACCUAGAUAAGAAGCACCGGCUAACUACGUG
rnacentral:rRNA from 1 species